AACGCACGAGACCUGCGGACCUGCGGAGGGAUCAUUACAAGAGAGUGAAAACUCCCUAAACCCACUGUGAACCUACCUGAGUCGACGUUCUUCGGCAGGCGGCCCCGGGGGGGCCGCAGCCCGCCUUCGGGCGGGCGCCUGCCGGAGGGCACACCAAAACUCUUGCUGUUUUGUUACUGUCUGAGUCUUUAAAAAAUAAAUCAAAACUUUUAACAAUGGAUCUCUAGAUCGGAAGAGCAC
rnacentral:misc_RNA from 1 species